UAAGUCUCGGCGUUUUUAGUAGUCGCAGUAUUUGUAUGGUGCUUCGGCUGCACUCCGUUUCCUUCUUUUUGGGUAACCUGCUUUGGUCUUCUCCUCUUCACGUUGUUCUAAGAACGUCCCGGUGGUCACUGUCUGUAGAUCGAUCGACCUCGCCGUGUGUCUAAUUAGGGAUCUCCGUGGCGGCGGCGGCGACCAAGACCUAGGUCCUGCUCCUACGGCUGUCGGUACCAUUUUUUCAAUUUUUAGGGGUGCCUAUCUCUACCUACCCGCCUUUUGUAAUGUGUGACUUUUUAGCCUAGCUCGCCCCGUGGUUUGGACGCUAAAGUUAAGGGUUAGAGCUGAAGAGGAGACGGGGAGGGAGGCGGACAGAGGGGGGGUGACUUAAGCGGCAGUUAGAGCGGUGGAUACGCAUUAGGGUGCCGGCCAAGGGGGGCAGGGCGGGGAGGGUACCGUCGGCUGCAGAGGUAGGAAGACCAGAGGAGUGUCGGCGCGCGGGUCAUUGUGGCGGCUAAGAGCGGGGGAAGCAGAAGAGACAAAGGUCCCGAUCAUCUCCUAGCCACGAAACCUCGCUCUCUCACAACAGAGUGUCCAAAACUCAAGAGUAAACCGCCCAGCCACAAACGAGAAGAGAACCAACCGUGGUUUCCUUUCCUCCAGACUGUUCUACUUGGCACGUUCUUCUCCUCCCUCUAGUAAAAGGGAGACCAAUACACGUCACCAAACAGAGUACCGAGUCGGCCCUCGAACGUCACACCACGACUACCGCUUAUUGUGUUGGAACAGAAAGUCACUACAGCUCCGUUGUAAAUGAGGUCUUCACUUUCCAAGUCCAAAUUUGCCACAUUAAAUGUGGCAGCUUGGAGAACUACGAACGUCAGGAGACUGUUUCUUUCGUCAGCUUCCCGGACGUAGUGGUAAACGCAACUAAAAUUCUCCGCCGACGGUUAAACUACUAUUUCAGUCUUUACGAGUCCUACGGCCUAAGUUCCGACACUAUCAUAUACUAUUGUUUCUGGUGCCACAGGAACAAAGUUACCGACCUUCGAGUAGGCCAUAGCUGUAUAUACGCCAGAAGUAGAGAUUCUGCAGUCCUCUCCACAACUUUGAUAUAAGUCCAGUUUCACUACGAGUCUACUCUUCCCUGUCCCGAGCUUAUGGACGUCGUGCUCUUAAAGUACCUUACUCGUCAGUCAAUCAGUUCCGUUACGGCUCAGAAUAAAAAUGUUUUCAGGUCCUUCUGUUAACAUGAAGCAGUUGUACGCGGUAAACGAACCUUCUGAUGUCACAACCACUUUUCUAUUCCCACGACGGAACAGCAGUGUUCAAGGUACGACGAACGCACCUGGACACCGAGUGUAGUACCUCCUGUAAGACGGGACAUACGUUCGCUCUACGUUUACGACCUUACAGUUUAGAGGGAGGUAGUCUCAGAUGGGGAAACGAAAGAAGACGAUAAGGGAAUGGUCGACUUAACUGUCGAAACAGAAGAAAAGCAAGUUACCAUCGUCGUAGAGGAGGUUCCUGUUAUUCGGCCGUAGGAAGUACCGUCAGGUACAGGGCGUGAUUGAGGUUAAGGUCAUAGGAGGUGUGGGCAUUGGGUACGUCUACAAAAAGGUUGAGUGGACGAUAGUCAUGUUCAUCCUCGUCACAUCUGGAACGUUUGUACAGUAGCGGUACCAGAUUGUGAGGCGUGGAACGUAGGCGCGUGAGGGACCCACCUCCCGUAAAAAGAGGCGGCUAGUCGUAGCCUAUGUGUAGUGGUGUACAGAGGGGAAAGCCGAUGUCUAAGAGACCUGUCAAAUAUCCAAGUGGGGUGUAGGGGGCAAGACUCUUGCCCAGAGGUUCAAUAAUAGGACCGAGAAGUCCCGUCGUCAUGGGAAUGGACUCCGUAGCGUGUCUCAGUCCCGGUUCGAAUAAAUGGUACCACGGGGUCAGCGGUGUUGUCUAGGACGACGUCCUACCACCGCUGAGCCGUUGCUCAGAUAGUCGAAGUCGUAGCUGGGUCAGCGAGGCAGUCCGGAUGGACGUCGUAACGGGACUAAGACUACACUCGAAUAGACGACGUUGUAGCCGAGUCAGCGACGGUCCCACGACUAACGGGAAUGUCCAAGUGGUAACUUCAGGUCAAUCUGGACAAUGUUAUCUUAUUCGAGAGGUACUCCGCAAGUCGCCGCCAGUGGUAACACUUCGCCUAAACUUACUCGUUAUCCUUCGACGGACCCAUCUCGGCCACUGGAAAUUAGACUGGUUGAUCGUUCCUAACAGAACUCCGCACACACGAUGACUACUACGGUCCUCACAUAUAAUAACGUCAAAUUAUCCCUAGAUGACAAUCAACGUCAGUCUUUACGGAACACGAUCAUUCUACUGCAUAUAUAAGACAAGUACUUACGAAGUCUCUUUAUAUAAUUAGAACAAGCAAGAGUGAGACCAAACUUCCCAAAUGGUCACGGAUACCGCCUGGACAUUAGUACAAAUAUGACGAACAUACAAAAAACAAUAACCAAAAACCAGACCG
rnacentral:rRNA from 1 species